rnacentral:rRNA from 1 species
CCCUCCUUCGGGACACGUGCACAGGUGCUGCAUGGCUGUCGUCAGCUCGUGUCGUGAGAUGUUGGGUUAAGUCCCGCAACGAGCGCAACCCUUGCCCCGUGUUACUAACAGGUCAAGCUGAGGACUCUCGGGGGACUGCCGGCGUCAAGCCGGAGGAAGGUGGGGACGACGUCAAGUCAUCAUGGCCCUUACGCUCAGGGCUACACACGUGCUACAAUGGCAGGGGCAGAGGGCUGCAAGAGCGCGAGCUGGAGCGAAUCCCAGAAACCCUGUCUAAGUUCGGAUUGCAGGCUGCAACUCGUCUGCAUGAAGCCGGAAUCGCUAGUAAUCGCGGAUCAGCUACGCCGCGGUGAAUACGUUCCCGGGCCUUGUACACACCGCCCGUCACGCCAUGGAAGCCGGGAGUGCCCGAAGUCCGUGUCCUAACCGCAAGGAGGGAGCGGCCGAAGGCAAGCUCGGUGACUGGGGCGAAGUCGUAACAAGGUAGCCGUAGGGGAACC